UUCCGGUUGAUCCUGCCGGACCCCACUGCUAUCGAGAUGGGACUAAGGUAUGCUAGUCGAACGACCAGAACUAUGUCUGGGAGUGGCACACUGCUCAGUAACACGUAGCUAACCUACCCUUAGGACGUGGAUACCCCCGAGAAAUUGGGGUUAAUCCGCGAUAGAUGUAAUGUCCUGGAAUGGUAUUACGUCUAAAGGUAUUUCAUACAUGUUUGAAAUAUGCCUAAGGAUGGGGCUGCGGCCGAUCAGGCUGUUGGUGAGGUAAUGGCUCACCAAACCUUUGACCGGUACGGGCCAUGAGAGUGGUAGCCCGGAGAUGGACACUGAGACAAGGGUCCAGGCCCUAAGGGGCGCAGCAACCGCGAAACCUCCACAAUGCACUCACGUGCGAUGGGGCUAUCUCGAGUGCCACCUGAUGAAGGUGGCUUUUCCUUGGUCUUCAAAGCCUUGGGAAUAAGAGGGGGGCAAGACUGGUGUCAGCCGCCGCGGUAACACCAGCCCCUCGAGUGGUGGGGAUGAUUAUUUGGCCUAAAGCGUCCGUAGCCGGCCGUGAAAGUCUUCCGUUAAAUCCAGCGUCUCAAGCGUUGGACCGCGGGAGAUACUACAUGGCUAGAGAGUGGGAGAGGUCAGCGGUAUUCUGGGGGUAGGGGCGAAAUCCUUUGAUCCCCGGAGGACCACCAGUGGCGAAGGCUGCUGACUAGAACACGUCUGACGGUCAGGGACGAAAGCUGGGGUAGCGAACCGGAUUAGAUACCCGGGUAGUCCCAGCCGUAAACGAUGCAUGCUAGGUGUUGGGUUGGCCACGAGCCACCCCAGUGCCGCAGGGAAGCCGUUAAGCAUGCCGCCUGGGAAGUACGAUCGCAAGAUUGAAACUUAAAGGAAUUGGCGGGGGAGCACCACCAGGCGUGAAGCCUGCGGUUUAAUUGGAGUCAACGCCGGA
rnacentral:rRNA from 1 species